rnacentral:rRNA from 1 species
GACGAACGCUGGCGGCGUGCCUAAUACAUGCAAGUCGAACGAACUCUGGUAUUGAUUGGUGCUUGCAUCAUGAUUUACAUUUGAGUGAGUGGCGAACUGGUGAGUAACACGUGGGAAACCUGCCCAGAAGCGGGGGAUAACACCUGGAAACAGAUGCUAAUACCGCAUAACAACUUGGACCGCAUGGUCCGAGUUUGAAAGAUGGCUUCGGCUAUCACUUUUGGAUGGUCCCGCGGCGUAUUAGCUAGAUGGUGAGGUAACGGCUCACCAUGGCAAUGAUACGUAGCCGACCUGAGAGGGUAAUCGGCCACAUUGGGACUGAGACACGGCCCAAACUCCUACGGGAGGCAGCAGUAGGGAAUCUUCCACAAUGGACGAAAGUCUGAUGGAGCAACGCCGCGUGAGUGAAGAAGGGUUUCGGCUCGUAAAACUCUGUUGUUAAAGAAGAACAUAUCUGAGAGUAACUGUUCAGGUAUUGACGGUAUUUAACCAGAAAGCCACGGCUAACUACGUGCCAGCAGCCGCGGUAAUACGUAGGUGGCAAGCGUUGUCCGGAUUUAUUGGGCGUAAAGCGAGCGCAGGCGGUUUUUUAAGUCUGAUGUGAAAGCCUUCGGCUCAACCGAAGAAGUGCAUCGGAAACUGGGAAACUUGAGUGCAGAAGAGGACAGUGGAACUCCAUGUGUAGCGGUGAAAUGCGUAGAUAUAUGGAAGAACACCAGUGGCGAAGGCGGCUGUCUGGUCUGUAGCUGACGCUGAGGCUCGAAAGUAUGGGUAGCAAACAGGAUUAGAUACCCUGGUAGUCCAUACCGUAAACGAUGAAUGCUAAGUGUUGGCGGGUUUCCGCCCUUCAGUGCUGCAGCUAACGCAUUAAGCAUUCCGCCUGGGGAGUACGGCCGCAAGGCUGAAACUCAAAGGAAUUGACGGGGGCCCGCACAAGCGGUGGAGCAUGUGGUUUAAUUCGAAGCUACGCGAAGAACCUUACCAGGUCUUGACAUACUAUGCAAAUCUAAGAGAUUAGACGUUCCCUUCGGGGACAUGGAUACAGGUGGUGCAUGGUUGUCGUCAGCUCGUGUCGUGAGAUGUUGGGUUAAGUCCCGCAACGAGCGCAACCCUUAUUAUCAGUUGCCAGCAUUAAGUUGGGCACUCUGGUGAGACUGCCGGUGACAAACCGGAGGAAGGUGGGGAUGACGUCAAAUCAUCAUGCCCCUUAUGACCUGGGCUACACACGUGCUACAAUGGAUGGUACAACGAGUUGCGAACUCGCGAGAGUAAGCUAAUCUCUUAAAGCCAUUCUCAGUUCGGAUUGUAGGCUGCAACUCGCCUACAUGAAGUCGGAAUCGCUAGUAAUCGCGGAUCAGCAUGCCGCGGUGAAUACGUUCCCGGGCCUUGUACACACCGCCCGUCACACCAUGAGAGUUUGUAACACCCAAAGUCGGUGGGGUAACCUUUUAGGAACCAGCCGCCUAAGGUGGGACAGAUGAUUAGGGUG